UCCACAGCUUAAAGCCUGGAUAACUGAAGGCACAUCCAGCAAUGGGGAAGCAGUGACAAUUGGAAAUGUACAGCAGCCUGUCUUAGACGCAAUCAAUGUCUGAGAGAUUUGUGGUGUUGGAGGAGGAGAUUACAGAGAUUGGGAGAGGCUCAAUAGUUCCUUCAAGCCAGUUCUGAUGAUGUCAUGCAGAAUUAUCAGGUGAACCCGAAGGUGACGUACAUUUGGGUUUCCAAUCCACUGGAAUAUCUGAAGAAGCUCGGAAUCUUUGAAAGAUUAGAGCUAACAUCUCUAAUGCUUCUGAUUGGAAGAAAAUUGCCCAACAUAUGGAAAUUGAGACAAUGGACAUGAGACACUUAUUGUCUGGGUUCUACCUAUUUAUUUGUCCGAUAUGGUGUAAAGCUGAAGACUGUAGUGUUCCAGAAUAACUGUAAUG